GUAGGGAAUCUUCGGCAAUGGGGGCAACCCUGACCGAGCAACGCCGCGUGAGUGAAGAAGGUUUUCGGAUCGUAAAACUCUGUUGUUAGAGAAGAACGUUAAGUAGAGUGGAAAAUUACUUAAGUGACGGUAUCUAACCAGAAAGGGACGGCUAACUACGUGCCAGCAGCCGCGGUAAUACGUAGGUCCCGAGCGUUGUCCGGAUUUAUUGGGCGUAAAGCGAGCGCAGGUGGGUUAUUAAGUCUGGUUUAAAAGGCAGUGGCUCAACCAUUGUAUGCAUUGGAAACUGGUAGACUUGAGUGCAGGAGAGGAGAGUGGAAUUCCAUGUGUAGCGGUGAAAUGCGUAGAUAUAUGGAGGAACACCGGUGGCGAAAGCGGCUCUCUGGCCUGUAACUGACACUGAGGCUCGAAAGCGUGGGGAGCAAACAGGAUUAGAAACCCUGGUAGUCC
rnacentral:rRNA from 1 species